UACGUAGGGGGCUAGCGUUGUCCGGAAUCAUUGGGCGUAAAGCGCGCGUAGGCUGUCAGUUAAGUCUGGUGUGAAAGUCAAAGGCUCAACCUUUGAAUGCCGCUGGAAACUGGCUGACUUGAGUCCGGAAGGGGCGAGUGGAAUUCCAGGUGUAGCGGUGAAAUGCGUAGAUAUCUGGAGGAAUACCGGUGGCGAGGGCGGCAUCCUGGACCGAGAUUGACGCUGAUGAGCGAAAGCUAGGGGAGCAAACGGG
rnacentral:rRNA from 1 species